rnacentral:rRNA from 1 species
UACGUAGGGGGCAAGCGUUGUCCGGAGUUACUGGGCGUAAAGCGCACGCAGGCGGUCUCUUAAGUUUGGAGUGACAGUUGGUGGCUUAACUGCCAAAGUGCUUCGAAAACUGAGAGACUUGAGGGCUUCAGAGGGACACGGAAUCCGGGUGGAGUGGUGAAAUGCGUAGAGAUCCGGAGGAACACCAAAGGCGAAAGGCAGUGUCCUGGGGAGUACCUGACGCUCAGGUGCGAAAGCCAGGGGAGCGAACGGG